GCCAGCAUGGCAUAGUGGUUUGAGUGUUGGACUACAACUCUGGAGACCAGGGUUUGAUUCCCAGCUUGGCC
rnacentral:tRNA from 1 species